rnacentral:rRNA from 1 species
GGGCUGCAGUGGGGAAUAUUGGACAAUGGGCGAAAGCCUGAUCCAGCCAUGCCGCGUGUGUGAAGAAGGUCUUCGGAUUGUAAAGCACUUUAAGUUGGGAGGAAGGGUUGUAGAUUAAUACUCUGCAAUUUUGACGUUACCGACAGAAUAAGCACCGGCUAACUCUGUGCCAGCAGCCGCGGUAAUACAGAGGGUGCAAGCGUUAAUCGGAAUUACUGGGCGUAAAGCGCGCGUAGGUGGUUCGUUAAGUUGGAUGUGAAAUCCCCGGGCUCAACCUGGGAACUGCAUUCAAAACUGUCGAGCUAGAGUAUGGUAGAGGGUGGUGGAAUUUCCUGUGUAGCGGUGAAAUGCGUAGAUAUAGGAAGGAACACCAGUGGCGAAGGCGACCACCUGGACUGAUACUGACACUGAGGUGCGAAAGCGUGGGGAGCAAACAGGAUUAGAUACCCGGGUAGUC